rnacentral:ncRNA from 2 species
AGACGUUCUCGGGGCGGGGCGAAAAUCCCCACCGGCGGUAAGCAGGGAGAGCCUGUAAAGCCCGCGAGCGCCCGGCAAGCCCUCGCCGGGGUCAGCAGAUUCGGUGAGAUGCCGAAGCCGACGGUCAUAGUCCGGAUGAAAGAGAACGGGA